AUACGUAGGUGACAAGCGUUAUCCGGAUUUACUGGGCGUAAAGGGCGUGUAGGCGGUCUUGCAAGUCAGAAGUGAAAUUCCUGAGCUCAACUUGGGCGCUGCUUCUGAAACUGCAGGACUUGAGUGCUGGAGGGGAUAGCGGAAUUCCUAGUGGAGCGGUAAAAUGCGCAGAUAUUAGGAAGAACACCGGUGGCGAAGGCGGCUAUCUGGACAGUAACUGACGCUGAGGCGCGAAAGCGUGGGGAGCAAACAGGAUUAGAUACCCUGGUAGUCCACACUGUAAACGAUGAAUGCUAGGUGUAAGAGGUAUCGACCCCUUUUGUGCCGGAGUCAACACAAUAAGCAUUCCGCCUGGGGAGUACGGCCGCAAGGUUGAAACUCAAAUGAAUUGACGGGG
rnacentral:rRNA from 1 species